rnacentral:rRNA from 1 species
UCCUGGCUCAGGAUGAACGCUAGCUACAGGCUUAACACAUGCAAGUCGAGGGGCAGCAUGAACUUAGCUUGCUAAGUUUGAUGGCGACCGGCGCACGGGUGAGUAACACGUAUCCAACCUGCCGAUGACUCGGGGAUAGCCUUUCGAAAGAAAGAUUAAUACCCGAUGGCAUAGUUCUUCCGCAUGGUAGAACUAUUAAAGAACUUCGGUCAUCGAUGGGGAUGCGUUCCAUUAGGUUGUUGGCGGGGUAACGGCCCACCAAGCCUUCGAUGGAUAGGGGUUCUGAGAGGAAGGCCCCCCACAUUGGAACUGAGACACGGUCCAAACUCCUACGGGAGGCAGCAGUGAGGAAUAUUGGUCAAUGGACGAGAGUCUGAACCAGCCAAGUAGCGUGAAGGAUGACUGCCCUAUGGGUUGUAAACUUCUUUUAUACGGGAAUAAAGUGAGGCACGUGUGCCUUUUUGUAUGUACCGUAUGAAUAAGGAUCGGCUAACUCCGUGCCAGCAGCCGCGGUAAUACGGAGG